rnacentral:lncRNA from 1 species
AACAGCAAUAUUUUAUCUCGUCAAAUCAACGUACAAUAAAGUCGAAGAAUUGUGGGGCACUAAUUUUUCUUGCGUCAGCAUGCGACACAUCAAGGAAGACAACCAAACGACAUAUUUCUCAUUCAAAAACUCGUCAGCGCAUACAAAAUACACGCUAAAUUUGACAACUGCACUUACUGCUACUUUUGGAUACAAUGAGAGUAACGCCAUUCAAUACCAGCUACCUGAUUGCACGCUUCUAAAUAAUACAAUUAUCUUUACUAAUGACGCAUGCACACUUAUGAGCGUCCCAUAUGGAAAUGCCAGCAAUGACGAUGAAGGUUGGUAAC